rnacentral:lncRNA from 1 species
GGGGGGGGUCGUUACAAUCAGGACGCCCAUCUGGCCCGGCUUUGCUCCGGUGCCAGAAGCCAAGAGGCAGAAGUCAAGGUUAAACGCUGCGGCGGGGCUGCGGCCCCCUUCGCCCGGCCCGACUCCCUGCAGGAGCCCCGCGCCGGCUUCGCCGCCCCACCUUGCCCUUUGUCUUUGCUGGAGCAGAUGUGCGGUGACCCCUGCUAGCAUCGGUGCUGUCAGGAUUAAAGAAGCCUCCACCCCGUUUAGCAACUGCAACUCUCGUCCCCCGACCCUCGCCAACCCACCUCUUGGGGGGUGGGGGUGGUUGUUUGUUUGUUUUUGUUUUUUGAAUUUUGGCAGUAAGUCAAAAGCAGCCAUCAUAAAGGUGCAGAAAGCCCUCGGCUCACAUUUAAAUUUGUGUGCCAAGUUGGCUGCUUGUUAGACCCUUUUAGCGGCGGAACCAUCACCACAGACACAAUGAAUUGUGAGAUUAAAGUUUAAAAAAAAAAAGAAAGAAAGAAAGAAAGAAAACCCUUAUCCUGCAGAUGUCUGCUGAAGGCUGUUCCACCGAGGAGUGUGAAAGGUCUUUGUGUGCAUGUAUGAGUGUGUCUGUAAAGCCAACAGCCGCACAUUUGUUCUCUGGUCAUUAGUCCUUAAUAUCCCUUUUUAAAAAAAAAAAAUAAUGAUGAUGAUGAUGAAAGUUAUCACACUCAAACCUAAGCAACCUCUUUGACAAGCUCUAGUUGCAGAAAUGAAUGGAAGAAAUGGAAGAGUUGGGAUUUCUCAUGAGGCGGAGAAAGGAGAACUCCAGAUCAAGUCGAACUGUGUGUGACUCAGGGGCCCGGAGAAAAGGUUACAACUGUAAUUUCAAGGAUUUACAGGGCCACCUUGCACAGCGCAGCUAGGCUGUGACUUGAAGAGGACUCCAAGGAGACUGUAACUGUGGCCAGUGUGGGACAGGACUCCUGCCCAGGCCUCAGCUUGGCUCAGAAGUCAAAUUAAGGUCACAGGUAAUAGGUCAAAGUUCUUUGCACUAUUUUCUAAUAUCCAAACUAAUUCUACCUAGAGCACAAUAAUUUCUGUUUUUAAAGUGUAUUUGGUAUCCGAUGGUGGCCUGAACAGACAGCAGUUGGUAAGCUAAUACCUGCCUGACUACAUAGAGGAUGUUCGGCUCAGUCCUUCCAACAGCCUUCACAGGUCACAUAGGAGCACUGGCGCCAGAGGGCUGAGAAGGUGCACCAGUUUCUUGGCAUUUUCUUCCACUUUUUUUAAAUGUUUUUGUUUGUUUGUUUUUCCAGUCCCAGAGGUGAACCCAGGGUGGGAGCUGGGGUUCUGCCCCUUAGCCACAUCCUGGCGCCUGGAGGAUAAGAGAAUUUCACCAAGCACUCAAUUCUAACAGAAAAGCAAGGGGAACUGAGUUGGGUUUUCUGUAGCCUGAGAAUUCUGUGUCUGCUGGCUUUCCAGGCACACAUUCUCUCUACAUGCAUGUUCAUUGCAGUCAAAAGUGCCAGUCAAGAUUGAUGGGGGCAACUUGGAAAGAAAGAGAUAGAUAGCUCCAGAGUCAGGAUGGCUCCUUUUAUCAGAACAACUGAAGGACCACUGUCUCCUGGAGUGGAGGCUGCGCUCACUCCUGGAUCAGGGGCAUCAGGGGCUUAUGGGGCAGGAAAGGAAGGGAUGAGGGGUUCAUAUGCAGACCAGAGUGGUAGAUAUCAACAGAGCCAGCCUCCUGGAUCCCUGACAUCAAGGAAGUCGACUU